UGUACUGUAGUUCAAUUGGUGAGAGUCCACCUUCUUAAGUUGGUAACUAUGGUUUCGAAUCCCAUCAGUCCUG
rnacentral:tRNA from 11 species